rnacentral:rRNA from 1 species
CUACGGGUGGCUCCAGUGAGGAAUAUUGCACAAUGGGGGGAACCCUGAUGCAGCAACGCCGCGUGGAGGAUGACGCAUUUCGGUGUGUAAACUCCUUUUAUAUGUCAAGAAAAUGACGGUAGCAUAUGAAUAAGCACCGGCUAACUCCGUGCCAGCAGCCGCGGUAAUACGGAGGGUGCAAGCGUUACUCGGAAUCACUGGGCGUAAAGGACGCGUAGGCGGGUUGGAAAGUCAGGUGUGAAAUCCUACAGCUUAACUGUAGAACUGCACUUGAAACUUCUAAUCUAGAGUAUGGGAGGGGGAGAUGGAAUUAGUGGUGUAGGGGUAAAAUCCGUAGAUAUCACCAGGAAUACCUAAAGCGAAGGCGAUCUCCUGGAACAUUACUGACGCUAAGGCGUGAAAGCGUGGGGAGCAAACAGGAUUAGAUACCCUAGUACUC